rnacentral:rRNA from 1 species
UACAGAGGGUGCGAGCGUUGUCCGGAAUCACUGGGCGUAAAGGGCGCGUAGGCGGUCUCUUAAGCGUGUGGUGAAAGCCCGGGGCUCAACUCCGGGUCGGCCGUGCGAACUGGGGGACUGGAGCUUGUCAGAGGCAGGCGGAAUUCCGGGUGUAGCGGUGGAAUGCGUAGAGAUCCGGAAGAACACCGGUGGCGAAGGCGGCCUGCUGGGACAGUGCUGACGCUGAGGCGCGACAGCGUGGGGAGCAAUCCGG